AGAGCGAACGCUGGCGGCGUGCUUAACACAUGCAAGUCGAGUGCGCGCCUGUAGCAAUACAGGUGGCGCACGGCGCACGGGUGCGUAACACGUGGGUAAUCUGCCCUUCGAUGGGGAAUAACUCGCCGAAAGGCGAGCUAAUUCCGCAUAACAUUCCAAGGACUUCGGUUUUUGGACUCAAAGGCGUAAGUCGUCGGAGGAGGAGCCCGCGCACGAUUAGCUAGUUGGUGAGGUAAUGGCUCACCAAGGCUAUGAUCGUUAGC
rnacentral:rRNA from 1 species